rnacentral:rRNA from 1 species
AGAGUUUGAUCCUGGCUCAGGAUGAACGCUAGCGGCAGGCUUAACACAUGCAAGUCGAGGGGCAGCAUAAUGGAUAGCAAUAUCUAUGGUGGCGACCGGCGCACGGGUGCGUAACGCGUAUGCAACCUACCUUUAACAGGGGGAUAACACUGAGAAAUUGGUACUAAUACCCCAUAAUAUCAUAGAAGGCAUCUUUUAUGGUUGAAAAUUCCGAUGGUUAGAGAUGGGCAUGCGUUGUAUUAGCUAGUUGGUGGGGUAACGGCUCACCAAGGCGACGAUACAUAGGGGGACUGAGAGGUUAACCCCCCACACUGGUACUGAGACACGGACCAGACUCCUACGGGAGGCAGCAGUGAGGAAUAUUGGUCAAUGGACGCAAGUCUGAACCAGCCAUGCCGCGUGCAGGAAGACGGCUCUAUGAGUUGUAAACUGCUUUUGUACGAGGGUAAACUCACCUACGUGUAGGUGACUGAAAGUAUCGUACGAAUAAGGAUCGGCUAACUCCGUGCCAGCAGCCGCGGUAAUACGGAGGAUUCAAGCGUUAUCCGGAUUUAUUGGGUUUAAAGGGUGCGUAGGCGGUUUGAUAAGUUAGAGGUGAAAUUUCGGGGCUCAACCCUGAACGUGCCUCUAAUACUGUUGAGCUAGAGAGUAGUUGCGGUAGGCGGAAUGUAUGGUGUAGCGGUGAAAUGCUUAGAGAUCAUACAGAACACCGAUUGCGAAGGCAGCUUACCAAACUAUAUCUGACGUUGAGGCACGAAAGCGUGGGGAGCAAACAGGAUUAGAUACCCUGGUAGUCCACGCAGUAAACGAUGAUAACUCGUUGUCGGCGAUACACAGUCGGUGACUAAGCGAAAGCGAUAAGUUAUCCACCUGGGGAGUACGUUCGCAAGAAUGAAACUCAAAGGAAUUGACGGGGGCCCGCACAAGCGGAGGAACAUGUG